CAAUAGCGUAUAUUUAAGUUGUUGCAGUUAAAAAGCUCGUAGUCGGAUUUUGGCUGAGAACGAUCGGUCCGCCGUUAGGUGUGCACUGAUUGGUCUCAGCUUCCUGGUGAGGAGGUGUGCUUCACGGCCACUUAGUCACCGUGGUUACUUUGAAAAAAUUAGAGUGUUCAAAGCGGGCUUACGCUUGAAUAUAUUAGCAUGGAAUAACACCAUAGGACUCCUGUCCUAUUUCGUUGGUCUCGGGACGGGAGUAAUGAUUAAGAGGAACAGUUGGGGGCAUUCGUAUUUCAUUGUCAGAGGUGAAAUUCUUGGAUUUAUGAAAGACGAACUUCUGCGAAAGCAUUUACCAAGGAUGUUUUCAUUAA
rnacentral:rRNA from 1 species